CGUGCGGCGGCCCCAGGUACGCGGACAAGAUGGCGGCGGCAGCGGUCGACAGCGCGAUGGAAGUGGUGCCGGCGCUGGCGGAGGAGGCCGCGCCUGAGGCAGCGGGCCUCAGCUGCCUCGUCAACCUGCCCGGCGAGGUGCUGGAGUACAUCCUGUGCAGCGGCUCGCUGACGGCCGCCGACAUCGGCCGCGUCUCCAGCACCUGCCGGCGGCUGCGCGAGCUGUGCCAGAGUAGCGGGAAGGUGUGGAAGGAGCAGUUCCGGGUGAGGUGGCCUUCCCUUAUGAAACACUACAGCCCCACCGACUACGUCAAUUGGUUGGAGGAGUAUAAAGUUCGGCAGAAAGCUGGGUUAGAGGCCCGGAAGAUUGUAGCCUCCUUCUCAAAGAGGUUCUUUUCAGAGCACGUCCCUUGUAACGGUUUUAGUGACAUUGAGAAUCUUGAGGGACCAGAGAUAUUUUUUGAGGAUGAACUGGUGUGUAUCCUAAAUAUGGAAGGAAGAAAAGCUUUGACCUGGAAAUACUACGCCAAAAAAAUUCUUUAUUACCUGCGACAACAGAAAAUUUUAAAUAAUCUUAAGGCUUUUCUUCAGCAGCCUGAUGAUUAUGAAUCAUAUCUUGAAGGUGCAGUGUAUAUUGACCAGUACUGCAAUCCUCUCUCCGACAUCAGCCUCAGAGACAUUCAGGCCCAGAUUGACAGCAUCGUGGAGCUUGUUUGCAAAACCCUCCGGGGCAUAAACAGUCGCCACCCCAGCUUGGCCUUCAAGGCAGGUGAAUCCUCCAUGAUAAUGGAAAUAGAACUCCAGAGCCAGGUGCUGGAUGCCAUGAACUACGUCCUUUAUGACCAACUGAAGUUCAAGGGGAACCGAAUGGAUUACUAUAAUGCCCUAAACUUAUAUAUGCACCAGGUUUUAAUCCGCAGAACUGGAAUCCCAAUCAGCAUGUCUCUGCUCUACCUGACCAUUGCCCGGCAGUUGGGGGUCCCACUGGAGCCUGUCAACUUCCCCAGUCACUUCUUAUUAAGGUGGUGCCAAGGUGCAGAAGGGGCAACCCUGGACAUCUUUGACUACAUCUACAUAGAUGCCUUUGGGAAAGGCAAGCAGCUGACAGUGAAAGAAUGUGAAUACCUGAUCGGCCAGCAUGUGACUGCAGCGCUGUAUGGGGUGGUGAACGUAAAGAAGGUGUUACAGCGAAUGGUGGGAAACCUUUUAAGCCUGGGAAAGCGGGAAGGCAUCGACCAGUCGUACCAGCUCCUGAGGGACUCCCUGGAUCUGUACCUGGCGAUGUACCCGGACCAGGUGCAGCUCCUCCUUCUCCAAGCCAGGCUCUACUUCCACCUGGGCAUCUGGCCAGAGAAGUCUUUCUGUCUUGUCUUGAAGGUGCUUGACAUCCUCCAGCACAUCCAAACCCUAGACCCCGGGCAGCACGGGGCGGUGGGCUAUCUGGUGCAGCACACGCUGGAGCACAUUGAGCGGAAGAAGGAGGAGGUGGGCGUGGAGGUGAAGCUCCGCUCCCACGAGAAGCACAGAGACGUCUGCUAUGCCAUUGGGCUCAUUAUGAAGCAUAAGAGGUAUGGCUAUAACUGUGUCAUCUAUGGCUGGGACCCCACCUGCAUGAUGGGACAUGAGUGGAUUCGAAACAUGAACGUCCACAGCCUGCCUCACGGCCAUCAUCAGCCUUUCUAUAAUGUUCUGGUGGAGGACGGGUCCUGUAGAUAUGCCGCCCAAGGGAUUAGCAGCUGCCAGCCAGAGAUGUUCAGAGGACCACCUGUUGAGUCCUUGGUUUCUCAGGAUGGUGACUCGGUCACACGUUUAUGUGGGAGGAGACGCAGAAUGGGCGCACGCAGAGAGCCAGAAUAGAGCGGCCGCCGCACAAGAUGGCCCAGGGAUCCUGCCAGCUGGCUGCACGCCCCAGGCUCAGCUGUCCCCUCCAAGGAACUAGUGUCCCAUUUGGGAAAGAGAGAGAGAGGUAAUUUUCCAUUUUCCUCCCCCGGGUGACUCAGAAGAAAGCAAAAUCCAUUCCCAGCUUGUUUUACUACUACUGUCAUUUCUCUGGCUGAGCAGCACAGAUUGAAGGCUGGGGGAGAUUUGUCCACACCCACUGCACCUCCCGAUCCGGAGAUCUUUCUGCGAUCAGCUUCUCUCUCCACCUGCAGAAGCCUUGCAUCUGCGGGGGACCUGCUUGUUUGCCUGGAGACGCUGCCUCGCUGUCAUCGUUUUAUUUUAAAUGGAAGUGCCCCUCCCCCUCGGUGGCCCAGGGAUGGGCGGGGUUCAGACGGCUCGGAUUCGGCCAUACGUUGCUGCCUUGUGGAAUGUGCCACAAAUCCACCAGAACAGAACAGGCUGGGAAAGUCACGGGAGAGAGGCUGUGUCUUCCGACACGCUCUCUUUGGGAUAGUGUUUGCUGAACAAACCUGGUCUUCCUUGGCUCCAGUCCUGCAGAGGGUACCUGGGUGCAUCCCCGCUGCCACCACCCUGGUCCAGGCCCCUGCUGCCUCCUGCCUUGAAAGUUCAGCUGCAUCCAAGGUGAUCUUUAAAGUACGUAUCUCUUCCAGUUAAUCCCUCGCUCGAUGGGAGUUGCAAGGAUAGAGCCCACACUCCUGAGGGCAGCUCUCCGCCCUCUAGCACACAGACUCUGCGUCAGCCCUGGGUCACAGGCUCCCUCGUUUCUCCACACACGCCCACCUCUGGGCCACCGCAUGGGCUGUUCCCUCUGCAGGGACACCCUACCUCCCACGUCGCGGCCAUGCCCUCGGCAGCUUCAACCUCCUCACUUUCGCCAGCCUGACCCCGCUCCCUUAGCGUCUUGAGCUUACCCCUGUCAGAGCACUUGCCGCUUGGGAUGUUCAUUUCUUGCCUGUGUCCCCCAGAACACUUCGAGCAACUUAAGGGCAGAUUCAGGGGCUGGAUCACCGUGAUGUGUGUACUUCCUGCACCUAGCGUGGCGCCUGGCAUUUGCCAAACUCAAUGGAAAGUGUCCUCAGGCAGCACUGGGUAGAAGAAAUAAUUUUAGAAGGAAAAGAGAAAUGGCCAUCCAGUUCAAGAGCUGACCCCCAAACUGUUCCACACAUACAGACUCUAGUCAUGGGUGUAUCUAUUGUCUUCUCUUUUUUGUGCAUGUCAUCUUCCCAGCCAGAGUAUUGCCAACCUGAGAGCAGACCCCCCUCUGUCUUUUAAAUAGUGGGGCUUAUCACGGUAAAGCCGAGAUAGAAAAACUUUUUCUAUAAAGAGCCAGAUAGUAAAUAUUUUGGGCUUUGCAGGCCAGUCUCUGUUGCAACUACUCAGCUCUGCGUACUGAAUACCAUCAAAAGACAUGGCAGCCGUGAGGGGAGGCCCGGAGAAUUAAUAGAAAUGCCAGCCCAGACUCCAACUCUGCUGAGCUUCUGUGCCAACCUUGGAAAUGCUCAUCUCCAACUUCUGGAUAAAAGGGAGAAGACCUGUCUGUGAUGUUUACAACAAGCAUUCUUCACUCACAGUCUAACAGAUCCUAAAUAACCUAAAUAAUGCUGUAUUAUUACAUUAUCAUAUAAAUAAAUGCUCAUUAGCACAAAGAGAAGGCAGCUUAAUACAUUUCCUCCUGCUGUGGCUUCCCAGUCUUCCCUGUUCGCUUUCCAACCAAAUGUGCAGAAUCCUCGAGGAGAAGUUUUGUAGUAAAAACCUAGACUCCAGGGAACCGGGGGUCUGAGGAACCCCAGCUGGGGAGCGUCAUCUGUCUCCUCACAUCCAUCUUAGAGAAGCCCAUGUGCUGUCUUCUGCAUUUUAGAGCCAAGAACUAGCUGGACACAGUACGGCGUGAGUGAGGGGUGAAAUGGCAGAAGCUUCUUACACAAGAACAGUCAGGGAAGAAAACUCCAGUGUUGCCUUGACAUUGUGCCCUCUGGCCAGCAUGCACACAUGGCCCAUCUCGUUGCCCCUUGCAGCCUCCCAGUACGGCGGGUCUGAUUAUCCCCGUCCUGCAGCAGGGGCUCGUGCUCUGAAACCACCAACGGCCGUGCUCUGAAUCCUUCAUUGCCUUUCAGUUCACUCAGAAUUCAACAGAGAGCAUCUCACAUGCCUACAAGCCACAGCUGCGGGCACCAGCAGCACAGACAAGACAGCCCUGCCGCCUUCUGCCAGUGAGCAUCUUCAGUUGCCCCACCUUCGUGGAGAAAGCAAACCCCGAGAGCCAGAUGCUUCUGGUGAGGCUGCCUGGAGCAAUAACGACCAAGCUUUGGUUGUCCGCAGUAAAUGGGGAAGGGGCAGUCCCCGUAGUUGCCAUCAGUAUUUCUUGAGCACCUACUAUGUGCACAGCCCUAUGCUGGGAGGAUGGAGGCCAUAAAAGGCACCCAGGCUAUGAGGCCAUGUCGGGAUUUGAGCAGUAUAAUACAAUCAUCUCUCCCACACACUGCAAGCCCACCGUGGGCCAGCCCUGCAUGCACGUCUCUCUGACCCUCACGGCAACCCUGCAGGGUAAGUGCCCUUUUGUUAUUCUCGUGCUGGAGCCAGGGGAAUUAAGGUCCAAAGGACAGUGAUAACUAGCGAAGGCCACACAGCUGACGAUGGUAACGCCUGGCCUCUGUGUGUCUAGUGCAGCGGGUGUCAAAGUCUGGUCCCCGGUCCCCCAGCAUCAGCAUCACCUGGGAACUCGUUAGAAAUGCAGGCUCUUGGGCCCCAGACCCGCGGAAUCAGGACCUCUGGGGAGGAGCCCACGAUCUGUAUUUGAACAAGUCCUCCAGGCUUCAAAUUUGGGAACCACUGAGUCGUGAGGUAUUUUAUGUAUAAAUGGUUUGAAGGCUGUAAAGCACUUAUUUGUCAGCAGGGUUUUUUUUGGUGCCUGAAAGGCUUUUUGUGUAAGAUUAUUCAGGGAACUCUGUUGGUUUUUUCCAGUUAAUGUUCUAUCUAUGACAAAUACAGAUUUGAAACACCAGUUCUUAAGAUUUUGUGUAGAAUUUUUGAAUCUUACUAUUUUGCUUAUAAAUUGACUAUAUUUUACAAUAACUUUUGUUUUUGUAAAAAACCACUUAAAUUCCCUUAGGUAUUUUAAGUGCACCAAUGCAUUUAAUAAAUUUGAUUUCUCCUUAA